rnacentral:lncRNA from 1 species
CUAGGUUUUGUCUUGGCCAUAUAAGGUUUUUGAGGUGUUUUGGGUUCUUGUGUUGAUUGAUAGAUUUAACUUUGCCUCUCUUCUGAGAAGUUUCUCCUCUUUGUCAAUAGGUGUCUGAUGAUUUGUGAGCCUCAAGUGACUACUCUGUGGAAUCAUCUGUCCUUGCCUUUGAAUUCGCUUUCCCUAGGCCAUGGGUCAACAUUAGUAGUUUAUACAUCCAAAUUGUGUUGACUUCAUUCUCAGGUAAGCUUUCUGAAUGUGGUGGCAAAGAUGGCCACAUACAGCUUCAGACUUGCAUCAUGCAUCAUCCUACAGCCUGCGAAUCCAGGAAAAAUAAACAAACAAAAAGAUUCUCUUUAUGCCAACAUCAAUUUCAGUUGUCAGAAAAUCUUGGAUUGGCUCUGUUUUGGUGACAUGCCCAUAUGUGGAUCCACUUAUUUGAUAAACAAGGACUACUCUGAUUGGAUGGCCAAUGUAGGGAGGCAAAAGAAGACUAGCCUAUCAAGGUCAUGAGGAAUGAGUGAGGGUCUGUCAGUGGUAGAAAGUGAAAGGAAUUUAAAGCAGGCGGGAAUGUAAUGGAACACACAACCACCACUACACAUUUUUUAAUUACUGAGUAUAAUGAUGAUUGAUAGGCUUUUGAAAAUGUUUGUCUUGGUAAACUCACUGGUACCUAUCAAUGUGUAGGCAACAUUAGUUUAUUUUGCCAAAUGUCCUCUUACAGCAUGGAAAUUAUAAAAC